UCAAGAUAAGCCAUGCAUGUCUAAGUAUAAGCAAUUAUACAGUGAAACUGCGAUGGCUCAUAAAUCAGUAUCGUUUAUUUGAUAGUACCUUUACUACUUGGAUAACCCGUGGUAAUUCUAGAGCUAAUACAUGCUAAAAAUCCCGACUGUUUGGAAGGGAUGUAUUUAUUAGAUAAAAAAUCAAUGCUCUUUGAGCUCUUUGAUGAUUCAUAAUAACUUUUCGAAUCGCAUGGCCUUGUGCUGGCGAUGGUUCAUUCAAAUUUCUGCCCUAUCAACUUUCGAUGGUAGGAUAGUGGCCUACCAUGGUUUCAACGGGUAACGGGGAAUAAGGGUUCGAUUCCGGAGAGGGAGCCUGAGAAACGGCUACCACAUCCAAGGAAGGCAGCAGGCGCGCAAAUUACCCAAUCCCGACACGGGGAGGUAGUGACAAUACAUAACGAUACAGGGCCCUUUCGGGUCUUGUAAUUGGAAUGAGUACAAUGUAAAUACCUUAACGAGGAACAAUUGGAGGGCAAGUCUGGUGCCAGCAGCCGCGGUAAUUCCAGCUCCAAUAGCGUAUAUUAAAGUUGUUGCAGUUAAAAAGCUCGUAGUUGAACUUUGGGCUUGGUUGGCCGGUCCGCCUUUUUGGCGAGUACUGGACCCAACCGAGCCUUUCCUUCUGGCUAACCAUUCGCCCUUGUGGUGUUUGGCGAACCAGGACUUUUACUUUGAAAAAAUUAGAGUGUUCAAAGCAGGCCUUUGCUCGAAUAUAUUAGCAUGGAAUAAUAGAAUAGGACGUUAUGGUUCUAUUUUGUUGGUUUCUAGGACCAUCGUAAUGAUUAAUAGGGACGGUCGGGGGCAUCAGUAUUCAGUUGUCAGAGGUGAAAUUCUUAGAUUUACUGAAGACUAACUACUGCGAAAGCAUUUGCCAAGGACGUUUUCAUUAAUCAAGAACGAAAGUUAGGGGAUCGAAGAUGAUCAGAUACCGUCGUAGUCUUAACCAUAAACUAUGCCGACUAGGGAUCGGGUGUUGUUCUUUUUUUGACGCACUCGGCACCUUACGAGAAAUCAAAGUCUUUGGGUCUGGGGAG
rnacentral:rRNA from 1 species